rnacentral:piRNA from 1 species
UGUCAAGAAGACAAUGGCUUCAAAGGA